AGCUGGCAGGAGGUUGGAUAUGACAAUCAUAUAACCAUGGACAUUGCAACCACGUGGGAUUUAUAUAUCAGUGACCCCUGGGACUGCCAAAACUACAGCCAUAAGUUGGCGCAUUACUUUGCUGCUGGUUCCAAUUACCAUUGUUAAGUGAUAAUAACCUGGAGUCUAUACCUAUUGUGAUAAAGCUUGUUAAUCUGAAUGGGUAACAAUAUUAUUUUGUAGCUUUUCUGCAUCUCUUACAUCAUCCUCUAGAUAUAAUAUUGAUAAAAGUGUCACAAUUUAAAUAAAAUAUCUACUCUGUCUGCAACUUGUGUGCUGUAUUUGAAAUGACAUUUGAUCUUAAUACUGAUAGUUAUCUAUUUAUGGUACCUUUAAUUCAGAAAUGUUUUCUUUUUUUAUAGAAUGAAACCCAAACAGCAAAGGAAUUUGUUAAGAUCGUAGAGGCUGCAGAAAAUGAAUACCAGACUGCUAUCAGUGAAAAUUAUCAAACAAUGUCGGACACUACUUUCAAGGCUUUGCGACAACUGCCUGUUACUCGCACAAAGAUUGACUGGAACAAGAUACUGAGCUACAAGAUUGGGAAGGAAAUGCAGAAUGCUUAAAAUGAAUGUGGCAAAUAUGAAUAAUUUUGUUCUUCUGUACAAAAUAAAGUUAUUGCAAAGGUAUUCAAAAUUGUGAUGUAUCACCUUGGCCAUUUGCCAUUGAAAUAACUAUAAGUAGUUUGGUUAGAACACAAGGCUUAGGUAACUUACUCUUUUUAUUUGUCCAUUUGUUUCUCCUUUAUAAAGUUAUAAAAAAAAUCAGUGUAGCUGAAAUGUUGAGAGCUUCUGAUAUAUUUAGAUUUUUAUAAUGAUAUGCCUAUAGUUUUCAGUUAAAUUAAACAGUUUGAAAAAAUAUUUUUGCAUAAGAUUAUCCCAUGUUGCUUGCUUUCAUACAAAAGGAAGCUUACCAAACACAAUUCCUUUGAAAAGAUUUGUUUCUGGACAACAUGGAUUUUAACCAUGUAUAUUGCAGAAAUAUUCUGCCCCUUCACUGUUUGAAAGCUGGAGAAAAGCAUUUCUAUAUCCAAUCCUAUUCAGUUAUUUAAAUAGUUUGAUGUUACCUUUUUUUUUAAAGCCAAGAUCUAAUUUUAAGAAGUUGAAAUUAAACAUUAGUGCUUAUGUUCAAAAUGCAUUUAAUGUUCCAUUUGACAGCACCUUAGAUGAGUUGGGAUUUUAUCAAGUCAUCAAGUUAUUUUUAUCAUGCAGCCAUAAUUGUAUUAUAGCAAGGCAUAUUGUUAUAUAUAUGUAAUCCUAUACUCAUUGUGUGUCUGUCAGUUUUUUCUUCAAUUGAAAUGUACUAAAAAUCAGUGUGAAUUAAACAUGCAAAUUUUCUAUUUA